rnacentral:snRNA from 1 species
AUACUUACCUAGACAGGGUUUAUGGUUGAUCAUGAAGGCUCAUGACCUAAGGUAGUAACUUUCAUUACACUUUGGAGGGGUACUACUUUAAGGUCUGUCAAAAAUGGUAGAGCCUACGUCAUAAUUUAUUUGUGGUAGUGGGGUUUGUGUUUGCGCAACUCCUUC